AUUGAACGCUGGCGGCAUGCCUUACACAUGCAAGUCGAACGGCAGCACGGGUGCUUGCACCUGGUGGCGAGUGGCGAACGGGUGAGUAAUACAUCGGAACAUGUCCUGUAGUGGGGGAUAGCCCGGCGAAAGCCGGAUUAAUACCGCAUACGAUCUACGGAUGAAAGCGGGGGACCUUCGGGCCUCGCGCUAUAGGGUUGGCCGAUGGCUGAUUAGCUAGUUGGUGGGGUGAAGGCCUACCAAGGCGACGAUCAGUAGCUGGUCUGAGAGGACGACCAGCCACACUGGGACUGAGACACGGCCCAGACUCCUACGGGAGGCAGCAGUGGGGAAUUUUGGACAAUGGGCGAAAGCCUGAUCCAGCAAUGCCGCGUGUGUGAAGAAGGCCUUCGGGUUGUAAAGCACUUUUGUCCGGAAAGAAAUCCUUGGCUCUAAUACAGUCGGGGGAUGACGGUACCGGAAGAAUAAGCACCGGCUAACUACGUG
rnacentral:rRNA from 1 species